rnacentral:piRNA from 1 species
UGUCUAGUCCCUGACUUUAGUGGGAUUGCU